CGUGAGGAACCUGCCUUGGAGAGGGGAAUAACACAGAGAAAUUUGUGCUAAUACCGCAUGAUGCAGUUGGGUCGCAUGGCUCUGACUGCCAAAGAUUUUAUCGCUCUGAGAUGGCCUCGCGUCUGAUUAGCUAGUUGGUGGGGCAACGGCCCACCAAGGCGACGAUCAGUAGCCGGACUGAGAGGUUGACCGGCCACAUUGGGACUGAGACACGGCCCAGACUCCUACGGGAGGCAGCAUG
rnacentral:rRNA from 1 species